GGAUAAUGGACCUCAGCUUUAGUCCUUGGUGGCCUCUUGGCAUGGAAGCUGGAACUUUCUCAAUUCUGAUAUAAAACCCUUGAGCAAGAGAGAAACUCAUGUGUGAUGGGGUAGGGAGUGGGGACCCUCUGGUAGCUGUGGGCAAGCAUGCCCAAGGACUUGGAAGACAGAAGCCUGUGGAACCCCAUCUCCUCUUUGCCUUCUUUCUCCUGGCCUUUCAUUAAGGGCUGGUAAUUUUGAAGUCGGCAGGGGCCUGAGAGAAGGUGAGCUAAUGCAAGGCCCAGGGUCACACAGCCAGGGAAUGGCAGGCGGAGGGGGCCAGAACCAGGCCUUCUCACUCUGCCAGUGCCCAUUCUGCUGGCCCACCCUCCACAGCUUGGCUCUCCCUGGCCUGCCCUCAGUUAGACUUCGGACUGAGGCCUCCAGUGGGGUGUGGGGUAUUGCUGGAAGCAGGGCCUGAAUAAAGUCUGGGGCUAGCGGGAGGGCAUCUGUCCUCCCGGAGGCUCCCAGGACUGU
rnacentral:lncRNA from 10 species